rnacentral:rRNA from 1 species
CCUACGGGGGGCAGCAGUGAGGAAUAUUGCUCAAUGGACGAGAGUCUGAACCAGCCAAGUAGCGUGAAGGAUGACUGCCCUAUGGGUGGUAACCUUCUUUUAUAUGGGAAUAAAAUGUUCCACGUUAGGGAUUUUGUAUGUACCAUAUGAAUAAGGAUCGGCUAACUCCGUGCCAGCAGCCGCGGUAAUACGGAGGAUCCGAGCGUUAUCCGGAUUUAUUGGGUUUAAAGGGAGCGUAGGUGGGUUGUUAAGUCAGUUGUGAAAGUUUGCGGCUCAACCGUAAAAUUGCAGUUGAAACUGGUAUUCUUGAGUACAGUAGAGGUGGGCGGAAUUCGUGGUGUAGCGGUGAAAUGCUUAGAUAUCACGAAGAACUCCGAUUGCGAAGGCAGUUCACUGGACUGCAACUGACACUGAGGCUCGAAAGUGUGGGUAUCAAACAGGAUUAGAUACCCUAGUAGUC